ensembl:lncRNA
CCUCAGUUACUUUUUCUCCACGUAUUACUGUUUUUGUGGCAGUAAUGCUUCCUGCACAUAUCCCAUAAAACCGGACGGUAAAAUCUGUUAGCCUCUGAUUAGCCUUUCUCCUCCGGCUGCUGUUUCCGCGUUUCCAUCAAAUAAUGAAAGGUGUCUCCUUGUGUUGGACACCAGGGGGCACAGUCCGUGUCUUACACAGAAUUACGGACACGAAGCAAAACGAAAGGCAUUUUGGAAACUAAGACCGCCAAGAGACAUUUUGACGAGUCUAAAAACGACAGUUAAGUUCGCGUUUUUAAGGUAAUAUUGAUGCUAGUAGCAGCGAAGCUAAGGAACACCUAGCUAGCUAACUAGCAGGUGCACUCGUCUGAACGUACUUUUUCAAGAUGUUUGGUUUGAGCAGCGAACUGGAUUUUAGACGUUUUUAAGCAGCCAGAAGAGGGAAAGACCAAGAAACACAUGAUUUAAGACAUCUGAAGUGGCGAAUGGAGUCAACUAAGCAUGCGUGGAUCAAACAAGGUCACUUUCGACUGGUCUGGUUGGAUGAGCAUCAAGAAGUAUUCCUCACCAUCCGCCAUCAGUGAUGACUGACCUUUGAACUCCUGAUGGUGGCCAAAGCGUCUCUGCAAAUCAAGAGUGAUACCGUCACCAUGCCACCACCUUAUGAAAGUGACUUUUUGAU